rnacentral:rRNA from 1 species
UAUCGGUGCUAUGUCUUGUAUUGGAUGAUGGGAAUUUAAACCUCUUCCAGAGUAUCAAUUGGAGGGCAAGUCUGGUGCCAGCAGCCGCGGUAAUUCCAGCUCCAAUAGCGUAUAUUAAAAUUGUUGCAGUUAAAAAGCUCGUAGUUGAAUUUCUGCUGCAUUGCAUCUUCUUUUUGAUGAGUUGGUGUAUUGUGGCUUAUUUCGGAUGAUACUUGUAUUAUCCGGAUGAUUACUUUGAGAAAAUUAGAGUGCUCAAAGCAGGCUUUUGCCUUGAAUAGUUUAGCAUGGAAUAAUAAAGUAGGACUUUGGUUCUAUUUUGUUGGUUUUAGGUACCAAAGUAAUGGUUAAUAGAGAAGUUGGGG